rnacentral:rRNA from 1 species
UGGGGAAUAUUGGACAAUGGGGGGAACCCUGAUCCAGCCAUGCCGCGUGUGUGAAGAAGGCCUUAUGGUUGUAAAGCACUUUAAGCGAGGAGGAGGGUACUGGUAUUAAUACUACCAGGUACUGGACGUUACUCGCAGAAUAAGCACCGGCUAACUCUGUGCCAGCAGCCGCGGUAAUACAGAGGGUGCGGGCGUUAAUCGGAUUUACUGGGCGUAAAGCGUGCGUAGGCGGCUAAUUGAGUCGGAUGUGAAAUCCCCGAGCUUAACUUGGGAAUUGCAUUCGAUACUGGUUAGCUAGAGUGUGGGAGAGGAUGGUAGAAUUCCAGGUGUAGCGGGGAAAUGCGUAGAGAUCUGGAGGAAUACCGAUGGCGAAGGCAGCCAUCUGGCCUAGCACUGACGCUGAGGAACGAAAGCAUGGGGAGCAAACAGG